AAAAAAGGUAAGCUACUAAGAGCGAAUGGUGGAUGCCUUGACUGGUAAAGGCGAUGAAGGACGUACUAGACUGCGAUAAGCUACGGGGAGCUGUCAAGAAGCUUUGAUCCGUAGAUUUCCGAAUGGGGCAACCCAAUGUAUAGAGAUAUACAUUACCUAUAUAGGAGCGAACGAGGGGAAUUGAAACAUCUUAGUACCCUCAGGAAAAGAAAUCAAUAGAGAUUGCGUCAGUAGCGGCGAGCGAAAGCGCA
rnacentral:rRNA from 2 species